rnacentral:lncRNA from 1 species
GCUGAUGAGAACCUGAAUAGGAGUUUAUUGAUCUUGGUAUGUUUUUAAUUUUUUUAUUUCUUUUUCUUUUUUUUUGUCCACACUGAUUAGCAGAACUUGCUUUGGUUAAUUUUUUUGGUCUUAGAUCAGUUGGUUGGAUUUCUUGUGGUGGAAUUUGUCCACCUAGGUUCAAUUCUCGACUUGGCACGGGUGUUUGUAUUUUUCCCGGAUUUAUUCCAGGCGCUACGCUUUCAGUAGUAGGCAACGUCUCCGUAAAAUAGCGAGACGUCUAUGGUGAUUUUUAGGGUAAGUGUACAUACGUGUUGUAGACGCUAUAUUGUACUGUAUAAUUCUAAAAACAAUUCCGUCCGCUUCUCCAAGUGUUUCCAAAACUUACUCCUGAUCUUACCCAUUAACUCCUGAUAUUUCCACACUUGAGAAAAAAUGAUAACAAGUCUAUGAGGGGAAGUGUAAAAAAAUAAAAAUAACUUACUCCUGAUCUUACCCAUUAACUCGUGAUAUUUCCACACUUGAGAAAAAAUGAUAAUAAGUCUAUGAGGGGAAUGUAAAAAAAAAUAACUUACUCCUAACCUUACCCAUUAACUCCCGAUAUUUCCACACUUGAGAAAAAAUAAUAACAAGUCUAUGAGGGGAAACGUAAAAAAUAAAAAUAAACCGAAAAUCUCAAAGGCAGCUUCCCUAAUGUUAGCGGACAGGAAAAAUGAAGAUUUUUUUUUUCUCUUUAGGCCUUGUUUAGUUCGGGAGUAAAAAGUUUUUGGGUGUCACAUCAAAUGUUUCAUAGGAUAUCAGAAGUAGUAUUCGGAUACUAAUAAAAAAACUAAUUACAUUACUCGUCUGGAAAUCGCGAGACAAAUUUUUUAAGCCUAAUUAAUCUGUGAUUAGCACAUGUUGGUUACUGUAGCACUUAAGGCUAAUUAUGGACUAAUUAAGCUUCGUCUCGUGAUUUUUAACCAAACUAUGUAAUUAGUUUAUUUUUUUAUCUAUAUUUAAUGCUUUAUGUAUGUGUCUAAACAUUCGAUGGGAUGAGUGAAACCUUUUUGGAUUAUAGCGAUUAGUGCCUAAUCAUGGACGGCUUAAAAGAUUCGCCUUUCAAAAUAUAUACAAACUAUGUAAUUAGUUAUUCUUUAUCUAAUUUAAUGCUCUAUGUAUGUUUCUAAAUAUUUGAUAAAAUAAGGUGAAAAGUUUUUAGGUGAGAACUAAACAAGAACUAAAAUAUAUAGAAGGUUUUGCUUGAAAUGCCUUGUGCUGACCUGCCUCCUGUCGGCUCAUAGACCUGAAAGUCUCUGCAGCCAUUAGAUGCAAGUUGGAAGGUGGAGAUUGAGACAAAGUUACAUUGUAACUUUGCUCUAUAAAGUCACUGAAUCUGGCUCCAUUUCGGACAUAGACCUUCAUAUACACGAGUGCACUCUCACCUCUAUGAACACACGCACGCACACUCUAUCCCUAUGAGGCACCUCCGAAGAACCAAAUUGGACCAGCAAAUCUCGAUAUUGACGAAAUCACCAUAGACAUCACUAAAAGUAUAGAGCCGUUAAAUCCUAAAAUAAAUCAAAAAAAUGUGAGUACUCGUGUCAAGUCGAAGACUUCAAUCCGGGUGGACAGGUUCUACCAUAAGUAACCUAACCAGCUGAUCUAUGAUCAGUUCACCUUGUUCAUAGAUCUUGAAAGU